rnacentral:rRNA from 1 species
UUCGAUUAUAUGGCUCAGAUUGAACGCUUUGGCGGGAUGCUUUACAUACAGUCAGGCAGCAGCACGGACUUCGGUCUGGUGGCGAGUGGCGAACAGGUGAGUAAUGUCGGAACGUGCCUAGUAGCGGGGGAUAACUUCGCGAAAGCGUAGCUAAUACCAUACGCCCUUCGGGGAAAACCAGGGGACCUUCGGGCCUCGCACUAUUAGAGCAGCCGAUAUCGGAUUAGCUAGUUGGUGGGGUAACGGCUCACCAAGGCGACGAUCCGUAGCUGGUUUGUGAAGGACGACCAGCCACACUGGGACUGAGACACGGCCCAGGCUCCUACGAGAGGCAGCAGUGGGGAAUUUUGGACGACGGGGAAGCCUAGUCCAGCCAUCCCACGUGUGCGAUGAAGGCCUUCGGGUUGUAAAAGCACUUUUGGCAGGAAAAGAAACGGCACGGGAUAAUACCCCGUGCAACUGACAGUACCUGCAGAAUAAGCACCAGCUAACUACGUGCCAGCAGCCGCGGUAAUACGUAGGGUGCAGCGGAUAUCGGAAUUACUGGGCGUAAAGCGUGCGCAGGCGGUUCGGAAAGAAAGAUGCUGAAAUCCCAGAGCUUAACUUUGGAACUGCAUUUUUAACUACCGAGCUAGAGUGUGUCAGAGGAGGUGGAAUUCCGCGUGUAGCAGUGAAAUGCGUAGAUGCGGAGGAACACCGAUGGCGAAGGCAGCCUCCUGGGAUGCUGCAGCGCUCGCUGCACGAAAGCGUGGGGAGCAAACGGAGUUAGAUACCCUGGUAGUCCACGCCUAAACGAUGUCAACUAGCUGUUGGGGCCUUCGGGCCUUGGUAGCGCAGCUAACGCGUGAAGUUGACCGCCUGGGAAGUACGGUCGCAAGAUUAAAACUCAAAGGAAUUGACGGGGACCCGCACAAGCGGUGGAUGAUGUGGAUUAAUUCGAUGCAACGCGAAAAACCUUACCUACCCUUGACAUGUCUGGAAUCCGAAGAGAUUUGGGAGUGCUCGCAAGAAAACCGGAACACAGGUGCUGCAUGGCUGUCGUCAGCUCGUGUCGUGAGAUGUUGGGUUAGAAUCCCGCAACGAGCGCAACCCUUGUCGUGGAUUGCUACGAAGGGCCUCUAUUGAGACUACCGGUAACAAACCGGAGGAAGGUGGGGAUGACGUCAAGUCCUCAUGGCCCUUAUGGGUAGGGCUUCACACGUCAUACAAUGGUCGGGACAGAGGAAUUCGCCAACCCGCGAGGGAGCCAAUCCCAGAAACCCGAUCGUAGUCCGGAUCGCAGUCUGCAACUCGACUGCGUGAAGUCGGAAUCGCUAGUAAUCGCGGAUCAGCAUGUCGCGGUGAAUACGUUCCCGGGUCUUGUACACCGCCCGUCACACCAUGGGAGUGGGUUUUACCAGAAGUAGUUAGCCUAACCGUAAGGAGGGCGAUUACCACGGUAGGAUUCAUGACUGGGGUGAAGUCGUAACAAGGUAG